rnacentral:rRNA from 1 species
GGACGAACGCUGGCGGCGUGCUUAACACAUGCAAGUCGAGCGGUAAGGCCCUUUCGGGGGUACACGAGCGGCGAACGGGUGAGUAACACGUGGGUGACCUGCCCUCAGCUCUGGGAUAAGCCCGGGAAACUGGGUCUAAUACUGGAUAUGACUCCAUGACGCAUGUUGUGGGGUGGAAAGCCUUGUGCGGCUGAGGAUGGGCCCGCGGCCUAUCAGCUUGUUGGUGGGGNGAUGGCCUACCAAGGCGACGACGGGUAGCCGGCCUGAGAGGGCGACCGGCCACACUGGGACUGAGACACGGCCCAGACUCCUACGGGAGGCAGCAGUGGGGAAUCUUGCGCAAUGGGCGAAAG